UGAGCCAUGAUCUUCAUGUAUUCCAGUCUGGGCAACAGAGCAGGACCCUGUCACCAAAAAAGAUAUAAAAACAAACCCAGCUGCGGCCCAUUUCGGGUCCUCAUUUGCUCUGUAACUUGCCAAGUUUUUCUUUUUAAAAAAAUCUCUUAUAUUUCCUGUUUUUCUAAAUAAGAUUAAGAGAUUCCAACAUACUUUAAAGAAUAUUUAUCUAAUAAUAUUCUUAAAGAAUAGAACACAUAUUCCGAUUAGCAUUGAAUGUUUCUUAAUGAAUAAUAUUACAAGAAAUGAAAUAAGACUAUUAUUCAUGGUUAACCAAUAACAAGAGUGUGUUUUUCUUUCUUCACAACUUAAAGUUAUAAAGUGGAAAGUGAGUAUAAGUUUAGAAAUUUUUAAAUAUUUUGGUAGCCAUAAAAUCUAGAAGUAAGAACAAAAGUUGUUCAUAGAGUAUUAUAAUGGGAAUAAACAGCUAUGUGAAAGGAAAAAAAUAUAAACUUUUUUUCAUUUUAAUGUAAAGGUGUGUACCUAUCUAAAAUUCUUAACACUUAUUUAGUCCCCCAAAUUAUUUCUUUGUAUUUCCUUGUAGGUCUCCUUGGGAAACUUGUUCCAAUUCAACUAUUAGACAUAUUGUUAUUAACAUUAACUUACUUUCUUACCCUGUAAAUAUAACUUUUUUUCAGUAGUUUUAUCAUCUGUGAUGAGAUUUGUUCAGUGGUUUGUUAGUGUGAUGAAGAAGAGUGUGGUUUAGGAAGGUUGGUUCACAACUAAGCAAAGUGGCUUCAGAAAACUCACUUGGGUCUCUAUUUCCCAGGUCUGGCCCUUAGCCUUGGAGAUCCAGGUACUUGGUUUUGCCAGUGCUCAGUGAUGAGCAGGCUCUGGGAAUGUGGGAGCAGUCAUGCGGCCCAGACUCACCAGAGAUUUGCAUAUAAAGAUUUGAAUAUAAAAUAAACUCCGGUUUAUUAACUUGUACUAAGGAAGAAAAGGCCAAGGAGAAAGAGCGGCAGUGGAGACGCACACUGAGGGCAUCCCUCUCCUAGCUUGGGUGGGUUGCUGAUAUUCUCAAGUCCUCAGUCCUCAUCUAUACAUGGGGAUAAUGAUAGGACCCAACCUCACAAGAUUGUGGGAGACUUAAUGAGGUAAUGUAUAGAAAAUGCAUUACCACUCUGCUUGUCACUUUCUAAACACUCAAAUAUUAGGAGAAGAAAAUAUUUUUCGCUCCUUUGGUGGGUGCUUUCUCUCUCAGAAUGAGAUGUUUCCUGGAUGUGUGUGGAGUCAGACUAAAAUGGAAUCAGGAGAUUGUAAUGAAGGAGUUCCUGGCUUGAGCCAUCCUUUCACACUACAGAGACAAAUUUUCCAGGGGCACGCUGUUUACUGGGAGCUCCUCACCUGAACCAUGCUAAAGACACAUUUAUCAGAUUUGUUUUGCUAAAUAUCGUUUUCAUACACUUCGUGCUGAUCAUUGGCUUUUCAGCUGGCAUGACCUUUCUUUAGCUCUGUUAACACCACUGUUAACAAACAGCUGGUACAGAUGUGGCAAUAUCUUUGCCAGUGCCUGUGGCAGACAUCAAGUGUCAACUGGGUUCUCUUCCUGCUGAGCCUGAACUCACCCUCCAAAUUCUUCUCAUCACUGACCUCCAGGCAGCCACUACCAAUGGCUCAUACUUUUUACUGGAAGUAAAAUGUAUUUGUGAUCCGGGGAAUAGGCCACAAAGAAGUCAUCAGUCCCUGCUUAUAGCUGAAAACAUAUUAUUUCUCAUCAGUGUGCUGUUUCUAUUAAUCAAGUUUUCACCAUAAUAAGGGUGAUAACUUUCAAACCUUCCACAACCUCACAAAACAUGAGCAGAUAAAGAUAAAAGUUAUAUUGGUGAACUCCUGAGUUCCACUCUCAGGUUUUGUGCAUGUAAGGGAGCUUGUGCUUUUAACAUUUCCAUUUACUAGCUUUUCUGACCUUUUCAUAAAAUGUGCAUUAAGAGUGAUUAAUUAAACAAGCCAUAAUAUGGAAUCCAUAUUAUGGAAUAUUGCUUAGUGAUAAAAGGAAUGAAAUACAGAUGUAUACAACAAACUGGAUCUAUCUCAAGGGCAUUAUGUUGUGUUGAAAAGGCGAAUCUCAAAAUGGUACAUACUGUAUGAGUCCAUUUGUUCAUAUUCUUGCAAUGACAAAAUUAGAGAGAUGGAAGAGAGAUUAGUGGCUUCCAGUGGUUUGAGGAGGGGGAGGAGGAAGGUGGCCAUGACUAUUAAAGGGCAGCACAAGGAAUCCUUUUAAUAGAACUGUUCUGUAGCUUGACUAUGGUAGUGAGCAAAAGAAUCUACAUGUGUUAUAAAAUCACAUUUAAAAUACAAACCUACACAAGUGCACAAGUGCACAUAAAACAGGUGAAAUCUGAAUAGGUGGGUGUAUUGUAUUGAUGCAGGAUUUUUCUUCUCAGUCACUUUGCAAGGCAGCUGGCGUGCCCCAGCUAACCAAUGUUAUAGCUUGUACCCACAUUCAGCAGUUCCUGAGCUCUUGUACCACGCCCAAGAAGAAUGAGGAUAUGUUGGACAUUGAAGUAUAAAGAGGGCAGAAAAGAAUUUUAUUGAGUGAUGGAACAGCUCUCAGCAGAGAGGGGAUGCAGGGUGGGUGGGGUGGUUCCCCUACCAGAAGGCAGGAAAGUCCCCUGUGUGGCUGGGUCUGGGACCUUUUAUGGGCUCAGAAUGGGGAGUGUGUGCUGAUUGGUUUGUGAGUAUGCUGACAGGGUAAAGCAAAGACAUCACUCAGAUGUGGGCACAACAGUGUAGAAAAACCAAUUAGGAAAGGGUCGGUAUAUGUAAAAUAGGUGAAAGGUGGAAACAGAUCAGAGGAAAGCACAUCAAAGGGGAAGAUAAGUUCUCAAUCUGGUCCAAGGAUUUAACUUUCAGGCUUUAAACUGUCUUCUGCUUGGUGGUGGGAUUUCACUGGGAACCUGCCCCUAUCAGCCUAGGCAUUUGGCUGCCUUCUGCCACUCUAAGUAUCAAUGUCAAUUUCCUGAUUGUGAUAUUGUACAAGAUGUUAACACUGGAAUAGGAAAUUGGGUGAAGGGUAUGUGGGGUCUAUUAUUUCUUACAACUACAAUUAUCUCAAAAUAUUUUUUAAAAGAUCUGCAAUGAGCAUUUCAAGAAUUGCAAUUGCAUCUAUUUCAAUUGAGUAUCAAAUAAAGGCAAUUAUUCCUUCAAAAUAGGAAAGACUGCUGCUCAAAUAUUUUCAAACUCAAGGUAGCUGUAUUCUUAAAAUUUUGUAAUAUUUUUACUUUGAAGACAGUCCCCAAAGAUGUAUUUACUCCCUCAUCUGGCCUGACUUAUCAAUAUUAUAACAGAAAACUGGUUUAAAAAAUUUAUUUUAGUACAUGUGCAGGUUUAUUUAGUACAUAUGCAGGUUUGUUGUAUAGGUAAACUCAUAUUACAGGGGUUCGUACAGAUUAUUUCAUCAACCAGGUACUAAGCCUAGUACCCAAUAGUUACUUUUUCUGCUUCUCUCUCUCCUCCCAACCUCCACCCUGAAGUAGGCCCCAAUGUCUAUUGUUCCCUUCUUUGUGUUCAUGAGUUCUCUUCAUUUAGCUUCCGCUUAUAAGUGAGAACAUGCAGUAUUUGGUCUUCUAUAACAGAAAACUGUUUAUCCAACAUUCUAUUAGCCUGAGCACCUUAUUUAAAACUUGACAGAAUGUUUAUGCUAUUUGUUUUAUUUUCUGUUUUAAUAUGAAACUGUAAAAUAACUAAGCAAAAGUGAGAUCUGGUGCUUUUGUCCCCUUAAAAAUGGGAGGUAGGGGGAGUAUUCUGCAGUACUAUAUAUUUUCAGCCAGAGAUGGCAAACAUGCAGCAAGUAUGUUUCCACUUAGCCCUGAUUCUCCAGUCUAUGACAGACAUCAGAUUGAUCAUUGCACAGAAUUUUCUGAAGAUCUUACUUCCUCAGAAUCCUUCUCAACACACACUCAAGGUAGCCAUUAACAGUAAGUUGCCAUUGACACAAGAUGGAACCCCCGAGUCAGCAUUUAGGUACUAAUUCUCCUUCUCAGAGUAUGGGACUUUCUAGAGUACUCUAUCCCCUGUCCAUGCCAAGUAAAAAGGAUUUUACGCAUUAACGUUUUGUUUCCUUUCCCAGUUUCACCUCUUCUAAGCAAGAUUCACAUGCUUGCUGAAUGUUUUUAGCUUGCAUAAACAAAAAGUCGACAAAUUGAGUAAUUUUGCAUUAAAAUACAACAUUACUGAAAAAGUAGUACCAUAUACAGCUGGUAAACUGUGAACAGAUUUUAAAGUCCUAUAUAGUUCAAGCAGAAAGGGAACACAACUGGCCAGCAUGGAGAAAAAUGAGUUCUCCUGGGCAAGUAUAUAUUUUUAAAAAGGCAUUUGUCCCUUUUUCCAACAAUUAAAGUAGCAACCUUAAGUGUUAAAGAUUAUCAGUAUCUAGAUGCUGACACUAGUUACUUGAUUUGAUAGUAAAGGGGUCUUUUAGUCCAAAAGCAAGAGAAAUGGGUGAUUUUAAUUUAUUUUCUUUACAUGUACUCUAUCCAGACUAGUAUAAGGAAAGCAAUAAAAACUAACACAUCAUAGAAUGGUUUACCUGAAAGAGAUAAUUCAUCUACUUCAAAGCCCCUGAGUACCUACUGUGUUAGAGCCACAGUUUCCCAACUGUGUGCCUAAUUUAAAUUUUAGCUUUGGAAUGCUUUAAAUUUCCCAGGAAAACGAAGUGAAAUCUGUCAGAUGCUGAAUGAGCUUAAGGUACUUCACACUUUCAACCUCUGGCCACGUGUAUUAGUUUGUUCUCAUGUGCUAUAAAGAAAUACCUGAGACUGAGUAGUUUAUAAAGAAAAGAGAUUUAAUUGGCCCACGGUUCUGCAGGCUGUACAGGAAUCAUGGCAGCAUCUUCUGGGGAAGCCUCAGAAAACUUACAAUCGUGGCUGAAUGUGAAAGGGGAGCCAGCACUUGACACAGCCAAGCAGGAGGAAGAAAGGUGGCGCAGAGGUGCCACACACUUUUGAACAACCAGAUCCCAUAAUAACUCAGUAUCACCAGAACAUCACCGAAGAGAUGGUGCUAAACCAUUCACGAGAACUCCGACCCCACGAUCCAAUCACCUCCCACCAGGCUCCCUCUCCAACACUGGGGAUUACAACUGAACAUCAGAUAUGGGCAGGGACACAAAUCCAAACCAUAUUACCAUGCCACAUUCCUUUAGAUGAUGUCAUAUCCUUGCAAAGCCGAGUUUUAGAGGCUUACUGGGAUGAAAUGCAAGCACAGUCCAAAAUGUAGAAAAAAUGUACAGAAAAAUGUAGAAUGAGAAAUGAAGAAGGCAGUGUUCUACCCAGGGCUCAGCAAGCAACAUACCCCUCAUUAGUAAAUAAUUAUGGUUAGUUAAAAAUACAAUUCGGUUGUUAUUUUUCUUUCAAUUUAUGUGUAUUUUUUCAAACAACUACUAAGUUAUUAAGGACAUAAAUGCUCAAGUUACUCGAACCUAACUACUUAAUGAAUGAAACUGUUAGGUAUUUCUGUUUUAUGAAAAUAUUACUUAAACAUCAAAUGAAUUUGGGAACCUCUGUCCUAGGGCAUAGGGGAGCAUAUUUCAUCAUGUUAUUUCAUUUACUCCUCAUAAAAUCCCAUAAGAUAGGUAUAAUCAGCCUAAUUUUAUACUUGAAGAAAUUGAGAUUUACAGAGUUUUAGUGACUUGCCCAAAUCUACACCACUGGUAGGUGACUGGGGCUACAGGGGCUAAGUGACAUGCCUAAAAAUUCACAGCAAGUCAGAGGCAGAAAUAAAACAAACAAAAUCCUGGUGUCCUGAUUCUCCUCCCAGGAGAAUCCCUUUUACAAAGCUGUACUCUCUCUCCAAAUCCUCCCACGCCUUCUCUCUUCUGAGUCUGAAUGUACAGUAUGAAAAGAUAGACUUCCAUGCUACACAUCUUAUUUAACUACGGGUGUAUUUAUGCUGCCUUAAUAGCUGCCCCACUUGAUUUUGAGUAUACGAGGAAAAUGUACAAAAUACUAUGACUGAGGAUUUUUGUUCAGUCUGAAUAAAUGCUAAAACAAUAUUAAAACAACUUUAGGCUCCUGUAACCGAGGAGGCUGUGAGGUCUUACAGAGAAUAUUACCCUCUCCUCGGGUUUCCUGUGGCUAGAUGGCUGAUCCUGCAUUUCAGGGAAUUGGACACUUGGGAUCUAUUUUCAACCUGAUGAACUCCAAUUGAACACUAAAGAGAGUCUAGAUUUUCCCUUCAGCCUUCACAGAAAUGAUCCCUGAUACCAUCUUUGUAACCCAGAGGGGCGGGCAGUAUUAAAACCCAAGGUCCAAUGAAUGCUGAUAGAACCUUUACAAGGUUUGACACAUUGGUCUCCACUGUAAUGGGUAUUUAAAACACAGCUUUCUCGGGCUCAGUGAGUUUUUGCUUUGCCUUUGUUCAGUGGCAUUUAACAUGCAGCCUUAUGAACAGCACGUUAAACAGUCAGCCUUUGUGCCUUUGGGCUCAUUUCAAUAGGUUUAUAGAAAUUUAAUUUUUUAAAGAAAAUUCAUUACCGAAGUUGUGUGAUUAUGACUCACAUUUAAACAAAAAUUCUUAUCCAAGGUCGAAUCUUUUUUCAAUUUGAAUAGCUUUCGUUUGUUCUACCAUUCUGCUAGAAACUAGGGAUUCAAAGGGGAACUAGCACAGAGACCCCCCUCCUAGAAAUGGAAGUCAUGUCAAUGAAAAGUCACACUCGUGGUAGUUGUCAUAAUAAGGCAUUUACAAGCUCUGAUGGUGGCAGCAAGGAAAGAAUAACGAGUUCCACCUAAAGGAUGCUACCAAGGCAACGUACAUAGAGAAGGCGAUGAUUAUGUUUUAUCCCGAAGCACAAGUAGGAGUUUUGCUGGGUGAACAUGUGAGAAAGGGAAUUCAGAGCAGAGAGAAGAGUGUGCUCAGAAACGAGAGGCUGAAACAGUGCGCGAUUAGAAAGGAUGCAAGUGGUUGAAUGUUACUGGACUAUGAAGUGUCAGAGAGAGAGCAACCAGUAAAGCCAGUGGGUAGAUUAGGUCAUGAUAAUAAGUGGUCCCCUAAGCCAUGCAAGCCUGUGGGUUUUACCAGAAAAUGUGCUGAUUUUAGGCAGGGGCAUGACAUGAUUAGGUUUGCAAACUAGAAAACUCAUUCCACCAAUAGUGUGUAGAGUAGCUUGGAACAGGUAAGAUACCAAAAACAGGAAGGAUCUCUUGGGAUGGUGUUUAGUAAACACUGUUUACAUGGUGAAACCUUACUAAUUUAGACUCGUUUUUGAAAAUUUGUGGUGCUUUAGUGCUCAAACCUUUUCCUACUAGUCUAAACGACUUCUCCACAUGAACACAGAUUGUAGUGCUUCGCUUUCCAGUACACACAUGCUGGUCCUACUCAAAAGAAGUAAAGGCCGGGCGCGGUGGCUCACGCCUGUAAUCCCAGCACUUUGGCAGGCCGAGGCGGGCGGAUCAAGAGGUUAGAAGAUCGAGACCAUACUGGAGAACACGGUGAAACCCCGUCUCUGCUAAAAAUACAAAAAAAAUUAGCUGGGCGUGGUGGCGGGCGCCUGUAGUCCCAGCUACUCGGGAGACUGAGUCAGGAGAAUGGCGUGAACCUGGGAGGCGGAGCUUGCAGUGAGCCGAGAUCGCGCCACUGCACUCCAGCCUGGGCGACACAGAGAGACUCCGUCCCAAACACAAACAAGCAAACAAACAAACAAAAACAAAAGAAGUAAAAAGAUUCUGCUAAAAGCAACCUUUAUAGUGCUUCAGAAAACUUACACAGUUUUCUCUGUCCAUUAUUUUUGUCAGAGUUGGGGAGGGGUUAUUUGUUUUUGAGUAUGUGCAUGUGUGUGUGUGUGAGAGAGAGAGAGAGAGAGAAAAGAAUAGAAUAGAAUCCUAACAAUCUAUAAUGAGAAGAAAGCUAAAUGAUCUAGUCCAGUGUUUUCAAAAAUUUAUUUACUUAACCCCCACAGUAAUGAAAACAUGUUCCACUGGACCCAGAAUACAGAUACACAUAUAAAAAUCAAAAGUGAAGUAUUUUACAAAAAAAAGCAGAAACAAACUAAAAUACCUAUUCUUCCUGUAUGUAAGGAGCCCUACUUUUUUUACCGCAUUCAAUUUCAUUUUUAGAAUGCUUGUCAAGACCCUGUAAAUUGAUUUCCUGACUGAUUAAUGAGUUGUUGCCUGCAGUUUGAAAAAUACUAAUUUAGUUCAACUUUCAUUCUGAUUCAGAAAGCUUUUCCUAAUUACAGAUUAGUAAAGCAAUAUCUCUAAAUUAGUACAUAGAUCCCUUUCUCUGUAGACCUCACCUUUCUGAUGCAAUGUCCCAAACAUAUCUGCCUAAUUCCUUUACAUACAGACCAAGGAGCUGCUAACAUCAGGUGUACAUAGAGGAGACUUCAUUAAGCUGAGAAUCAGUGAUCUGGAGAAAGCAGAACAUUGGCCUCUCAGACCCCUGGGAUUUUCUACUAGAAAAGCUUGAAAGUCCAAAUAGAUCCAAAUUUGAAGUCCAAAUAAUAGAUCUGAAAGAUUCAAAGUUUGGGUGGGUGACAGAAAGAACCUUGUCAUAGGAUUUGAGAGACCUGAAACUCGACCCAUGUGACCUGAGCUUCCCAAAUACUGAGCCAUGGAGCAGUUGCCUUAGAAUCGCCUGGAGACCUUUUUAAUGUAUAAAUUCCUGGGCCUCAAUCCAAGAAUUAUGAUGGAAAUAUGAACAUUUUAAAAGCUCCCUGCAUGAUCCACAUGUGACCAUGAUGGGUAAUUUCUGAUUUGGGCUUUCUGAACCCCGGGAACUUCUUCUAGAGAAUGGUGGUAAGAUCUGCCUCCCUGCCAUGAUUGUUAUGGAGAACAAAUGAAAUACUGGAUGUAUGACGAGUUAAUGGUUGCAGCACACCAACAUGGCACAUGUAUACAUAUGUAACAAACCUGCACGUUGUGCACAUGUACCCUAGAACUUAAAGUAUAAUAAUAAAUAAAUAAAUAAAUAAAUAAAAAGAAAUACUGUAUGUAAAAGCCCCAAAACAGUCAAAAGCCCUACAGGUGCAAGAUACUAACGUAAAGAUAUAUCUAAUGCUCUCUCCUGGCUCACCUCGAAAAUUACUAAUAAUAACUAGAUGUCUAAAAAGAGAGAUUCUUUUCUUGUAGUAAGUUUGCACAUUUAGCUCAUGGCAAUACCAGAAAUUUCCUAGAACUUAGGAAGAAUAUUUUACAUAAAUUUUUAGAAAUGUUAGGAAAUUAAGCCCUCAAUUAAAACUUUGGCCUCUCUGAAAGAAAAUAACAUUCUGUGCUCUAGUUAUUACCUGUGGGAAACAAUGGGGUUUGUUUUUGUUCUUGUUUUCUCUGCCUUUCAAAUAUAUAUUAGAAGAAAGAUAUAAGAAAGUUCACCUUAUACAUCCUGCAAGUAGGUGAAGCCUAAAUGAAUCAGUCCUAAAAUAGAUGAUAAAUGUUAAGCUAAUGCUUUUUGACAAGCAUUUGUCUUGGAGAAAGAGAAAGAAAUAGAAUGUUCAGUUUUUGAGGACAAGGUAUUAACAGUUUCUCAGGCUAUUUAUGGAAAAAAACUUAUUUCAGUUCUUUCAUGGUGCUUAUCAAGUAGAGAUUUUUAUUUAAUAAGCAUUAGAUGUGUACUAGGGUUAUAUAGAAAUCACAUCCUAUGUAAGAAUUAUAUAUCAAAUCCCAUACUUUCUGAGUGACAGAAUUUGGACAGUAUCUAUGUUAGUGAUCCACAAAGUUAAAUUUUCAUUUUAAAAAUGAGCAAACAAUGCUUUCUCAAUGGUUUCAUAUAUUAUAAAGAAUUAAAGAAUUUUUUAACUGAAACUAAAGGACUAGAAUUAGAAUAUUCACUUGUAUUGCUUCUGAUACAGCAUCAGAAAUAUAAAUCUAGAACCGAUCACACAGACCACACACUGUACUGGAAACACAUUAAGAGCUAUGAAACACAUUGAGAGAUGCUUGAUUAAAAGCUUAAUAUAAAUUCUCAGGGUAGAAAGCCUAAUUUUUUUAAGCAAAAUGAUUAAAGCAAGGUCUAGAAUGGAAGAAUAAAUUAGUUAGAAAAAGAGACCAAUCUAAGUGUGGUUAAGAUUAUUAUCUUUGAUAGAUCUAUGUCUAAACAAUUACUUUCCAACUUUCCCCCAAUAUCUUAAUAACAAAAGUUGCUAUGGAGUAUUUUGUUUUCAUUUUAAAUAGCUAGAUAUAAUCAACACCUAGCUGCUUUAUCAACUUCAGAUGAACUUUGGAAUGUGUUAGUGGAGGGAAUAUACUAAGAAUCGGAAAAGAGUCCAGAGGAUAUGGACUACAGUGUUUUGUCUUCUUUCCUUUUAUUCCAUAAUUGAUCAGAGAAUAACAACACAGAAAUAUGUGUUGGGCAGCACAUUAUAGUUUAUGAAUCCCCGUUAUAUGUGUUAGCUUAUUUCACUUUCAUGGUAACCUGGUGAAAUAGGUAGGAUCUGUCUCUGGAAAAAUAUCUCUAAGAUAUGCUAAAUAUGAUGAGAUGUUUAAGAAGAAAAAGUGCUGGGGAGGGAGGGACAUGUUUCUACCGAUAAAAGAAGUUACUUAAUUUCUCAUCCCUUGGGUUUAUUACCAGAGUUCUGAGUUUCGUCUCAUAAUGUAGCAAAAUAUUCCAUGCAAGAAACCACUAGAAUGCACCAGCAAAAGGAAGAUGCCGAAAUAAUGAAUGAAAAAGCAUUUCCAUCAUGGUCGUCUCAGACAAUGAGAUUCCUCCACAGAGAAACAACAUAGCAUACUACCAAGUCAAAUAACGUGAAAAUACCAAAAGAGUCAAAAUGGACAAUUUAUAUGGUUUAAAUUUUUUAAAAGUCGUUUUCUACAUUAAGCUGUGUAAACUUCAAUCUGAACCCUCACUCUACCAUUGCUUUGUUAUGUGACCUUGACCAAGUCCGUUUAACUUUCUCUCAACCCAUUUUCUCAUCCAAUGGUAAAUAGACAAAAUAAUGCUUAUCUCAUAGGAUGGUUGGGAUGAUGAAGUAUGUGAUGUAAUGAAUAUCCAAUUCACAAACUAUCACCACUUUGUAAAAAUGUGAGUUACUGAAUUGGAUCAGCAGUGGGUUAACUGGUUGUUUGUACAGUCUGAGACAUCUCAGUCUUCUCUGGUCAACCUGUAGCCCCUUACUUCUGACUGUGAAUCAUUUUGAGUUCUUUCCGCUCCCUCAAGCCAACAUCCAAUCAUUCACUUAGUUUUUCCUACUUUAUCUCCUAAAUAAUUCUUUAAUCCACUAUUUUUCUACUUCUCCAUUUCUAUAGCACUGUCCUCUUUUAGGGCUCCCAUCAUAUAUUUUGACUAAAUAGUCACCAUGUUCUCUAAACUGGUCUCCUUAUGUCUAGUCUUUGCUCUUCACUUCAUCUUCCCUGCUAUGUACAAAUCUAACCCCAUAAAUGUUUCACUAACAUUACAUUUGCUUCCCAGGGGCUUUCAACAUGAAGUCCAAGCCACUUCCAUGGAACAAAGGGACCCCCAUGACCUGACCCUUUAGCCCCAUCUCCUGUCACUGUCUUCUUCUUAUUUAGUGUUAUUUACAAAUAGCAAAUAUUUUUAGUUAUUCAUACACAGCAUCCAUUUCAUCCUUCUGUGUAUGACUUUGGGAGACAUCCUCUGAGUAGACAUUAAAGGCUUUUCAUCUGACCAGCCAAUUGCUCUAUGGCAGUAAUUCCCAGAUAAAGCCCCUUACCUUACCCCAGGUACCUCCCUUAAGGGGUAGAGAAAUUUAAAAAAUUAUAAAGGGGGAGUUGUCAAGGCAGAAAAGAGAGAUGUGACACCCCCAAGUCAUCUUCCUAAAGAAUUGUGAUGUGGCUUUGUUUUUAACCUGGAUACUUGAAUUAAGGGGAUUGAUGCCUCAGUCAUUAUAUCAAACUGUGUUUUAAAGGUGUAUGAGAGGAGGCAGUCUGGAUGUCACAAAACUACUGCGCUAUCUAGUGUGUCUCAGAGCCCUUAACAAACACAGCCCAAACAAUGACUCACAACCCCUUUAUAGCCCAAAACAAGCUGGUAUUUUUGUCAUGACCGUUCAUCAAGGUUUUUAUUUUUGAUCCAGAAGGACAUGUAGGUGAAGGCUAAUUUGGUGUCUGAGGGUGAAUGGAAAGAGGAUACAACGUUUUAGCAUUAUUGCUCAAUACCACUGAUUAUGUCUGUGGUUCAAUUAGCCGUGUCUUGAGAGAAAAGGCAGUGUGAGUCUGAACGCUCCCGGACUGAGGCCCAGUUUUCCAGGUAAAGUUUCGAUUGCUUCGCGGUUCAGCCAAGACCACCUAACCUCGAUGUUGGAAUUCACCUGAGUAUUCUAGAAGCUUUGAAAGCUGCAGGUCCAGCAAAAGCACGGUGGCUGUGUAAUAGGAACAGAUGGAUGACUAGACCAGCCAGAGGAAAAAUAAGAAGGUUCCAUGAGGGAGACAUGACAGAGGGCUUGGCUGAUUGACUGUAAUUUACAGCAUCCAUCAUCAUGAGUCCAGAAACAGAUACUGUGUAUUCUAAGCCUGACUCAGGCUCUGAUUCCUUCCAAGGUGUUAAGCAGCUCAUUUAGUAUCUGACGAAGAGUCAUCAUAAUGCUCAGCAUAGCUGGGUUGUCUCUGCCAAGAUAAUUUAUCAUUCACUGUUUUUACACAUUAAUGCAAAAACUAUAUAUAUUGAGUUCCUACAGAGUGAGGGACUUAAGUUGGGGUUUGUGGAUACAUUUAGGCAGCCUGUAAACUCCCAGGAAUGUUAUACACGGAUUAGUAGAUAUGUUCUUGCCUGUAUUUUAUGAGAGGAUUUAUAGCUUUUAUUAGAUUCUCACUGGAGUUUGUGACCAAAAAGAGAUUAAGAGUCACUGCUAUAUGGUGUAAGACUUAUCAUACCAUGUUCAUGAAUAUGUUUUUCCUAGAAUCUUAAAAGACAUACCCUGAUGAAAAAGGGAUUGGAGCCAUGCACUGUUUCUGUGAACUGUACUACGUUGUAAAAGGAAUUUUACUACAUUUGAUUCUCAAUAACAGAAUUCGAGCAGGCAUUCCAAGUUGUUUCUUAAUUGCUGAUGAAACAUGCUUGAGUUUAUAGUACUCUUCUCCUAACCAUAAACUUUUCCUCACUCUCUCAUAUUUCAAAAACGAAACACUGUUUAGUUAUCUCAAAUGAAAAGUGCCUCGAGGACAAGGAACCAGGACUUGGAGUUUUAUCACCCACAGUGUUCAGGUAGCCCAGUAUCCUUGCAUAUGCAUUAUUUAUAAAUAAAACCUGCUAGACACUGGGGUGUGGUCUCAGGCAGACAUGAACAGCAAGCUAUGUCAGAUGUGGCCCACCAUUGGCCACUAGCUGAAUGACAGAGGAUGCACCAUAGCGGUGGAGUGGGUUUGGCUGGAAAUUGAUGGCUGAAAGUAUUUGAAGUGAAAAACCAGAAGUCAUCUUUGUCACUCUGUCACUAAAAUAAAAACUGACAAUUCAGAGAUAGAAACAGUACUGCUUUUCCCCUUGCCCUCUGGCUGGAUAUAUUCUGUGACAGGGGAUUCUCCGAAAGGUCUAGAGUAAUGCCCCACCCCCCUACACCAUCACCACCAGGGGACACCCUCCACAAAGAUGCCUGACAACUGGCCUCUUCAUAUGCUUUAGAGGUGAAGCCUACUUAAAAAGUUAGCACUUGGUGGAAAGGGGAUAUUUGGUUCCCAUUUGCCAUCACUGACAGUUCUUUCUAUUGCUUUUUAUUUUCUCUCUUCAUUUAAAUUUCUUUCUCUAUAACAACACUAGCAAGAAAACUGAGUAGAUCAGACAGAACAGACCAGAUAGAGCAGAUGUUCCCAGGAGUGCUGGGAGAGGAGAAUAGGGGAAGCAUGCGGGGAUCACCAAAGAUCUUGUGAGCUGAGUUCAGCGUGUACAUGGUCAAGGCAUUGUGUACCCCAGAUGCCCACUCCUCAUCCACCCAUCCAGACAGCGUGAAAAUGGGGCAAGAAUACUGGCCUUGGGUUUCCAAGAGUCCAAAUGUGACCCAGGCUCAUCACUAUCUAUCCAUGCCAUGUUGGCAAAUUGCAGGACUUCUCAGAGAGGUCUUCCUCAUCUGCAAAGUGGAGAUGAUUACACCCACUUCACAGUGUAGUACUGUGAGUUUCAUGUGAUAAUGCAUGAAAAGUACAUGGCAGGCAUUUAAUAAAUGCUAGCUUACAGCUAGCUCUUCUUAUUUCACAGAAUCUUAUUUUCUGGGAGAUUAAGAUGUAUCCUUUUAAAACCUCAUAUCUGAUGAUAAUAUUUCUAAUCUGUAAUAUGUGUAUAUAUAUUCUUGCUAAUACAUUUCUUAAGCAAAAAUAAUUACACAUAAUUUGACCUAUAUUUUGAUGAUGAAAAGUUACAUUUUUGUAACUAUUUUAAACCAUUUUAAAAGCGCUUUUUACAUUGAUCAUUGUUUAGAAUAUCAAUUAACACACUGUGCUAUAAUUCAGCAGAGCUACCAGACACUGUUGUUCUGCUUCGGGCUGCUGGCCUAAAGAUAAAAGCUCUCUGGUUUUCUGAAGUAUAUGAUGUUUCAUUUCCCCUCUGGCAGCUCCCAUUAAUACUUAUGUUUAACUUUGCCCCCUUGGCUCAUUCUGAUUUUCUGCUGUUUUUCUAGUCUGGAAAAGAGAUUAACAAGAUUUUCGCUGACCUUAAAACGGGAGGAGGCACUGAGUGAGAGUGUGAGGGUCUCUUCAGUGUUGUAUGGACUCGCCAUGCCUUAUCUCACCUUUCCUUCUGCUUCUUCAUUUACUUUGCUGUAUUUUUAGGGUGUUUGCUGUAUGUAUGAUACAUGCUCUUUUACAAGUGUAGAUUAGCAAGUAAGUAUUUAGUCGAGGUUUUUUUUCUCAGUAAUGGAGGAAGUCUUAAUUUAAAAGCUCCUGGUUUGGUCACUUAUAUCCCACAGGGAUGAAGGUCACUUAUAUCCCACAGGGAUGAAGGUCACUUUUGACACUUGAGCCUUUGCUUGGCUUGGAGCCCUCUUCUCAGUAUGGUGAAUGUUCCAUCUGCAGUCAGGACACUGAACUAGGAUCACCAAUGGGCACAAGAUGAAUGAGAUAAAACGAAUGCCUUCAAUUGGCUUAAAAUCUAAAAGAACAAAGACAAUGUAAACUGUAAUAUGAGGCAAAAUUUGAGAAGUUUUAUAAUGAAGUCUUAAGUGAAAUUUGGAAGAAAGGGAAAAAUAUCCAUUUUGAAAUCCAACUUCCGGCAGGUAUAGUGGGCCAUUUCUGAGCCAGCUUGGGAAGGGGAAGGUUUCUGUGGCCAUAGUUUGAAGACAAAGUCAUCCAAAGAGAGAGUCAUCCAAACAGAAGCAAAUAUGUAGAGCACAAAUGUGCAGACUUGUUUAGGGAAUAGAAAGAAUUUUUGUUUGGUUUCAGAGUGGAGUGCUUAGAGUUACUGUGACAGAUAAAACUGGAGAAAUACAUCAGACCAGGUCCUAAUGCCACACCAAGUAAGGAGUUCUGUGUUCUGGUGACUUCAUAACAGAUUGAAUUCUGCGAAAUCACAGAGGUUUGCACUAGUUAAGCCAAAUGGGAGAACUGAACAAGAUGCAUGGAUGUAUUUAGAUGACUAGCAACUCAACAGAAGAGACUAGAGCUAGCCUCUGGUUUCAACUGAGUUUCAGAGGAGAAAUAUCUGGGCCAACCUGACUAGGAUGCUAGCAAACUUUUGAAUUCAGCAUAUAAUUUAUCUUGUAAAUGUGACUAUUUUAGAAAAAACAAAAUACAUUUGUGGAGAGCACCACACAAUUAACUUCAUUCAGAUUUGGCAUUUGGAUCUUGGCUUUUCUGGAGAUCCCAUUUCUAAUGAUAUCUUAUUCUGGGCUUUUUUUUCAUCAUUAUUAAAGUCACCCUUUACUUUCCUUCUGCCUUUGAAGUUACAAUCUCGUCAGUUCAAAGUCUUUUUAGAGCACUUAACAGAAAAUUUAAUCAAAACGCUGAGCCAAAUUUCAGCUAAAAAGUUAUUAGCGUCACUGGAAAUGUGAGUCAGAUUUUCAGGUAAUGCUAUUCAGCCAAAUAGGGUUCACCACACUGUUCUAGACAUUUAGAAAAUAAUUAGAUAUAUUUAGUGUAGAAGUAGAUACAAAAACCAUACUCAGAAAAACUAAAGCUACUCUAUAUGCUGGAGUACCACAGAAACUAGGUAUGAGUUUGUGUUCUCUCUAGGUAAAGAUAUCAACAUUUGUUUUUCUAUGUGAUUAUAUAUAGUUACUUAUUACACAUAUAUACCUCUCAUAUUUAAUGAAGCAAGUUGGUAAAGCAUACCAAACUGAAGUAAAGGGAUGAAAGUUUGAGACCAGGCUCCCCUAAAAUUUUCUGUGUGGCUGUGGGCCUGUUGUUUGAAUUUCCCUGGAGUUCAGUUUUGCUCAUCUUACCGAACCAGACAUUGAUCUCUUACCUGAUGUUAUGUAAUUUAGCUACCCAUUAGUUGUGUCUUAUCAUUGCCCCUUUCUAAUCCUUCAGUGGAAACUGAUUAAAAGUCACCAUACAAGAACAGGAACUUUUUGCUUAAAUUAGGAUUUUAGCAGGAAAGAGAAGGAAACAAAACACUUUAAAGUCUUCUUCAACCAUCAGCUUUAGGGGAAAAAAGGAAUUCAGUAAGUCAUAGUAUAGAUUUUUUUUUUUUAAUUCCAUCGAUUUUAAGGAUUAUCCUGGGGUCAAAUUUCACAUUCAUAUUCAAUUUCUCAAAAAUAUUUAUUGCAUGAAAAAGAAUUAAAUAAUGGCAUUUGCAGUUACCUGGAUGGAAUUGGAGACCAUUAUUCUAAGUAAAGUAACUCAGGAAUGGAAAAUCAAACAUUGUAUGCUCUCACUCAUAAGUGGGAGCUAAGCUACAAGGAUGCAAAGUCGUAAGAAUGAUGCAAUGGACUUUGGAAACUCGGUGGGAAAGGGUGGGAGGGGGGUGAGGGAUAAAGGACUACAAACUGGGUACAGUGUAUACUACUCAGGUGAUGGAUGCACCAAAAUCUAAGAAAUCAACACUAAAGAAUUUAUUCAUGUAAUCAAACACCACCUGUUCCCCAAAAACCUAUGGGAAUAAAAAAUAAAAAUUAAAAAACCAAAAUAUUUAAUGUGAUAAGUGAUUGAUUUUGCUAAGUUUCUGAAUGCAUGAUUUAUUUAGUCUUCAUAGCUAACCUGUGAGAUAAGAUCCAUUUUGUGGAUAUGAAUACUGAGGCUGAGAGAAGUAUAAGUUUAUUCAUAGUAACAUAAGUAGCAAAUGGCAGAACCAGUUAAUUAUGUGGGAGUAGAGCUCAGGGUUGCAGAGAAGGGAUAACGGGGUUUAAAAACAACAGCUAGUUGACUUCCAAAGAGCCAAGCUUCUCUUCUGUGUAGUGCAGAGCUGUUGCUGGGGAGUGGCUUCACAGCCAGGGACUUUGUUUCCAGUGUCUCCCAUGUAGGUGAGGCCACAUGGUCCAUAAGCCAAACUCUUGCUGGCCAACAGUAUAUAGCACAAUUCUGUCUCUUCCUGGCUGAAGUGGUAAAGUAUCUGAGGUGACUUCUUCACAUUCUCUUCCUUUUCCGUGGCAAUCUUGGAGGCCAUAUCUCAAAGGUGAUAGCUUCAUGCGAUGGGAGAAGUCUAUGUGAACAGAUCGGAUGGACACAAGAAAGAGACCUAACAGCACUCUCUGAUGGUUUGGCUGUGAAAAGAAAGAAUCAAAGAUACUUCUUAGGUUUCUGGAUGGAGCAUCUCGGAGGAUGUUGGCACCAGUUUACUUGGAGAGGGAACGCUGGCAAAAGAACUGGCUGGGGAGGAAGAUGACAGAUUCAGCUUUAGUUUAUACAUGCCUCAUGUGAACACUAGAUUGUCUUGAUAGAUUACUGAAAAUUAAAUGUUACAGAAUCUUAGAGUCAGUAUUAUUCAACAGAAGUUGUCCUAGUCCACUUGUGUUGCUAUAAGGAAAUACCUGAGACUGGGUAGUUUAGAAAGAGAAGGUUUAUUUGGCUUUCGGUUCUGCAGGCUGCACAAGAAGCACGGCACCAGCUUCCAGUGAGGACCUCAGGCUGCUUCCACUCCUGGCAGAAGAUGAAAUGAAGCCAGUGUGUGCAGAGGUCACAUGGUGAGAGAAAGCAAGAGAGAGGAGGGGAGGAGGUGCCAGGUUCUUUUUAACAACCAGCUCUCAUAGAAAUUAACAGAGUGAAAACUCAUCCACCGCUUUGAGAAUGACACCAAAUCAUUCAUGAGGGAUCCUCACCCAUGACCCAAACACUUUCCACUGGCACCACUUCCAACAUCAGGGAUCAAAUGUCAACAUGAGAUGUGGAAGACAAACAUCCAAACUAUAACAGAAGGAAUCGGAAAGCAUACUGUUGGAUGGUUUGUGAAGAGAUGUGGAUUUUCCUCCCCUUUCUGUAUUAACAAAGGAAGAGAAAGACCUUACCAUUUGAAAUGGGUUGGACUCUUUACUUUUAUAUGAUGUAUACUAUGACAGUUUACUAUUUCUCAACUCUCAACUAAAAUGGUAAUAAUAAUUAUAUCAAUAAAUGAUAUUAAUUUUU